rnacentral:tRNA from 2 species
CGCCAGAUUGCUCAGUUGGUAGAGCACCUGACUAGAAAUUCAGGGGGCCCCGGGUUCGAAUCCCGGUCUGGUGC